rnacentral:rRNA from 1 species
UACGUAGGGGGCAAGCGUUGUCCGGAAUCAUUGGGCGUAAAGCGCACGUAGGCGGCAUUGCAAGUCGGAUGUGAAAUCCCUCGGCUUAACCAAGGAAGUGCAUCCGAAACUGCAGUGCUUGAGUACUUAAGAGGAUCGCGGAAUUCCCGGUGUAGAGGUGAAAUUCGUAGAUAUCGGGAGGAACACCAGUGGCGAAGGCGGCGAUCUGGGAAGAUACUGACGCUGAGGUGCGAAAGCGUGGGGAGCAAACAGG